GGGGAUGCCGGGCUUUGACAGAGAAGCUUUCGUGCAAAUUGCAGGCCGAGCUGACUACCUCGUAAAACUUGUCAAAAAAUAACUGCUAAUAAAACAGCGGCGCCGGCUUUCGCUUUUGCGUAAGUUGGUGUUCCCCUUCUAUUUAUAGAUGGGGCAUCGGCCCCGACGUUUCAUAGGGAAUCGCCGGUGUUAUACCUGAAACUCGCCUAUUGUAUUACGACUUCAAAUACAAUUGGUUAAACCAAAGAAGUCACUCGUUCUUUUCGAACUAAGCUUGUAGAAAAUUUGCGUGUAACUCUCUGGACGGCGGUUCAACUCCGCCCAUCUCCACAA
rnacentral:tmRNA from 1 species